GGCCAGUUGACGAGUCCCAAACAGAAGGAAAUGCACAUCCUGGAU
rnacentral:hammerhead_ribozyme from 1 species